AGGUGUCAGGCUACCUGUGCCCCAGCCUUCCUUUAAUCCAUCGGAGGAGGAGGUGGAGGAGGGGGGUGUGGGAGGCGCAAGACCGGGGGGCACCUGGGGAAAACGGGCUAGUGUUACACGAAUGGAAGAAAGGCCCAGUUCAGGUCACCUCCAGGAAAAAGAGCGAGCCGGUAGCCCCCAGAACUCGAUCAAUCCAGCCUCUCUUCGACCCGCGCAGCAGCCCCACACAGGACGACCAGCAUUGGGCAGUGCCAGGUGAGGAGAGACAACAUCUCGCCCCUCCCAUCUGCCUAGAUGGAGACCAUCACCACCGAUGAUGAAAGGGAAUUCAUCCGGGCCUCCCAGAUCCGGGGCAGAUUCCAGAGAAGGAGUUCCAUUCCAGUCGAAGUCUUUGGUCCCAGCGAAGAGGAAGAAGCCGCGGUGGUGUGGACCAUCUAUCCCAAGUCAGAAGAGCAAAUCAAGAAACUGAAAGAAGCCUGUAAAGACCUACUCCCCUUCCGAGGCCUGGAGGAUGACCUGCUCCUACAGAUCUUCAGUGCCAUGUUUGAGAAGAAAGUCCUCCCCCAAGAGUGCGUGGUGCAACAGGGGGAAGACGGGGACCACUUCUUUGUCAUCGAACACGGGGUGUUUGACAUUAUGAUGGGGCAGAACAACCAGCAGAAUCGCAUCGGCCAGUAUAAAAACAGUGGCACUUUCGGAGAGCUAGCCUUGAUGUAUUCCUAUCCCAGACCCGCUACUAUUAUUGCCGUCACAGAAGGCAGUCUCUGGGGUCUGGAUCGAAAGACUUUCCGGACAAUCACUGUGACGUUCCAGUUGGAGAAGAAGAAGAGGCUACAAAUGUUCAUUGCCUCUGUGCCCUUUUUCAAGAGCCUGGAGGCCACAGAGUCAGCGCAGAUCCUCGAUGUGGUAGAGGAGAAGACCUACGAGCCUGGAGCAUGCAUUUUCCUAAAGGGUGAAAUUGCAGAUAAGUUUUACAUAGUGGAAUCAGGGGAAGUCAAAAUCGUGGCCGAAAAGCCCGGUAGUAAGGAGGUGGGGAUCGUGAGGCAUCAUAAAGAAGAAUAUUUUGGAGAAUCAGCUCUCAUCAACAACAACCCCAGAACAGUUUCAGCUUAUGCAGAAGGAGAAGUCAAAUGCAUAGUUAUGGAUGUGCAGGCACUGGAAAGACUUCUUGGACCUUGUAUGGACAUUUUGAAGAGAGAUAUGUCAAAUUUUGAAGAGCUAAUAGAACUGCUUGGUCCCAUAAUCGACACAACAGUCUGAGGUGUCCAGAGGAACAGGCAUAUUAAUAAUACAGAAAAUCUUCUGAUGGCAAUACCACAAACUAAAAAAAAAAAAAAAAAAAAAAAAAAAUGGACGCGAAAGAACAUUGGACUUAAGUCCUUUGUCUUUUCUCCCCUCAGAAUCAUUUGCUUAUACCUGGGUUGCCAUUGCUGUCAGUGAGUACAAUAAAGCACAGGACUCCUGAGUUGCCCCAAAGCUAA